GCCAGAUGCUCAACCAAUGGAGCCACCCAGGCGCCCCAUGUAUAUUCCAUUUUUAAGAAAGUUAAAAUUUCCUCUUGGAACCAAGUCGGCAGUGUCUGGGAGCUGCUGUCUUGGAGCGCCAGUCUGACCUUUCUGCUGUUUCGUGUUGGCUGUUUAAUUGCCUUAAUUUGAAAGCCACCUCUGUCAAGGGAUACCAGGAAGGUAUCUCCCACUCCUCCUCACACUGAUUUGCUGACUGUGGAUGCUGCUGGCUCUUCUGCGGAUGUUGAAAAGCCACUUCACGCUCAGCACCAUCUCCAGUCCUUGGAGGUUGGGCUCCCCAAGAGGGUAGCAGCAGUGUCUUUUCAGUGCCCUGCCCUUGAACCUCACCCAGUGCCUGGCAUACGAUAUGAUAAACUCUUCACGAAAAAAACAUAUUUGUAAAUUAUGAAACCAUAAUGGGAGGUGCACUGCGAACCCACCACACAGCUUAAGAAGAAAGUUCGUGAGCGCCUACGUUAUCUCAUCCUCGUUGCUUCCCUGGAAAUAAAAAGCAUAC